UGCCCAGACUCCUACGGGAGGCAGCAGUGGGGAAUAUUGCACAAUGGGGGGAACCCUGAUGCAGCGACGCCGCGUGAGUGAAGAAGUAUUUCGGUAUGUAAAGCUCUAUCAGCAGGGAAGAAAAUGACGGUACCUGACUAAGAAGCCCCGGCUAACUACGUGCCAGCAGCCGCGGUAAUACGUAGGGGGCAAGCGUUAUCCGGAUUUACUGGGUGUAAAGGGAGCGUAGACGGCGAUGCAAGUCAGAAGUGAAAGCCCGCGGCUCAACUGCGGGACUGCUUUUGAAACUGUCAGGCUGGAGUACAGGAGAGGUAAGCGGAAUUCCUAGUGUAGCGGUGAAAUGCGUAGAUAUUAGGAGGAACACCAGUGGCGAAGGCGGCUUACUGGACUGUAACUGACACUGAGGCACGAAAGCGUGGGGAGCAAACAGGAUUAGAUACCCGCGUA
rnacentral:rRNA from 1 species